CUAGGAACGAGGGAUCGGCAGUGGCGAAAAAACAGGCCGGAGCGAAGGAAGUGAACCUGAGUGAUCGUCUCUCUUUCAUCGGCAAGUUUCGCACACAACGAGUACGAAGCCAAAGCCGUGGUUUUGAGAUGUAUCUAACUCAAUCUACCCUCUAUGCCCUUAGAUUAUCGUUUCAACAGGGGGCUGUGACGUCUAUGGUUCGUAAAAAUAUCAUCGAACGAAACAUCAUGAUGUCGGCGAUCGUCCUUGCAGCUGUUGGUCUAUCAAUGAAUUUAUAUUCUGCCACGAAAAUGUUGACAUCUGAUCAGCGAGGUCAACUGUAACAAUUUUUUGCUAAGAUCAUCAGCAACGGAUCGAUCCUAAAGAGGAAAGGAGAAAUAGACAAGAAGACUAUCUCAUCAAUAUGAUUUUACACAUUCGAAUCGUAUGCAACAUCUUUUCAACGGAAAUUUAUGAUCAUAUUAGGAUAGUUACCUAGCAUUAGGAAUUUUGUAUAAUUAAUUUAUUGACAAAAGCAAAGUAUUUUCAAUCAUUAUCAUUAUAUCGGUCUGAUCUAAAUAAUUCUUGUAACAAGCACGUGUUAGUAUAUUAAUAUUUGGAGGGCAACGGAAAAAACAAGCAUAUAACAUAUUUUCGCUUGAAUGAUAGAAAAUGAUAAUGAAGAAACUUUUGUCGAUUUAAUGGAUACCGUUAAAAUACAAGAAAAGAUUCUAUACGAGUUAUUGUAGAAAGGAAAUGGUUGCCCUUUAAUGAUUUUAAACGAUUAUUAUUGAUUCGUAGGGAUACGAUUUAACAAUAUUAGCUCUUGAAUAGGAAAAUCAACUCGUCAUCGAGGUUUUAUUGCGAUCGUUGCUACUAAAUUGAGUCACGAAAGAUGGCUAGGUUAUUUAACCGCACAUUUGUACAUUUAUAUAGGUUGUAUUGUCAUAGUCGAUCAUACAAAUUUUCUGUUACCACAAGAUCGUUAACGAGCGUUGUUUUUUAAUAUUUUUAUUUUUCCCCUACCCUUCGAUCCUAUCAACUGUACGGUUUUAAAGUUAGAUAUUUAUGCCGAAACGAUUACUUUUUCGGUAACUUAGUUAACACCGUGAGGUGCGCAUAGUUCCUUCUCCACUAUGAAGCAAUAAAAAAAAGCGGCAGAAUCAUUUUAUCCUUAGACUUAACGUGUACAUUUAUUUAUAAUUAUUAUACAGUCUCACACUCGAUAUUUCUUGUCGCAACGUCUCGUCUAAUAUUCUCCCGCAUUCGUUCUUUCACAAAAGUUCUCGACGCUUAAUCUCACAAAUUUUCGUUCUUUUAAAACGCCCUCAUCCACACCACAGGGAAACAUCGACGAGAUGAACCGUUAUCGAAUAUAUGUAUAUCAUCGUACGUAAAAGAAUGUUCCUUAGCGUGUAAAAAAAUAUUGGAUUUCUAGACAUUAUAUUUUUUUUCUUUUUAGUCGAUCCUUCCCUUUGCGUGCAUGCGGAUACUUGCACACGGAAUAUACAAAUAUAAAGAGUAGCUAUAGAAUUAACAAUUUCACGAUCGUCGGACCGCUCGAUCCUUCGAUAGGUCAAGAGAACUUAAACGUAACAUAGAAUAAAACUGAAGAGAGAAACGUUAACGACGAUUAUUAACACUUGGUAACGAUUUAGCGAAUUGUCCAGAUAACUGUAACAAUUUUUCCUUUUGUGUGUAACAGCAACUCUACCAACUGACUACUCGACUCGAUAUUUAUCUUGUACUUAAAAGAAACUUUGGCAAUCGCUACGCU